rnacentral:lncRNA from 1 species
UUAUAAAUCCCCUCCCAAGUUUAUCAAAUGUUCAAACCGUUCCCUCUCCUGAUGAAAAUUCCCUCGUCACUAAUUCAUUACCCGCCCACACCCUUAACCCUAAAUUGGGUUAUUCUCCAAACUGGAUUCAUCCUUGAAGACUCGUGUUCUACAUAGUCGUUACUUCAAUUCUUUGCCCUGAAUCGGUACGUAGAGAUGGUAACUGGCCGCUAACCACCACCAAUCGACCUCAAGGGCUUCGAUUACAGGCGUUACCCCAUGAUUUUCUUCGGCUACAGACACCACCAAUCGACAUCAGGUUCUAAUUGAAAUAUUUAGUAAGUAUGUUUACGAGAUGAUAGAACUUCCAUUUGGUUAGCACAUAGUUCGAAUUGCAUAUAUGGUAGUUCUUGUUCGAUUCAUUCUUCCAUUCCCAAAGUUUACUUUUAGCUAUAGUUUUUUUAUUUGAACAGAGCUAUAGUUCUUGUUUCUUUGUUUUAUAUGUAAUGAAUUAUUAAUCUUCAGUAUCAAAAUGUAUGGAGAUUUUAGACUGUAUUAUGUGUUUAUUCGUCUUGCUUUUGAAUGUCUACCUUCGCUAGUUCCCAACUCCUGACCAACAACCUUAGGUAUUAUAGUUUAAUUCUCAUAGUUCUGAUAUAGUUUUUUUUUUUUUUUCAAAAAGCUAGAUUCAAGUUCCCAAUUCCCAACCAACAACCUAAGGUAUCACAUUUAAUCUUGUACUUAAUGAAGAUACUUUUUAAAUUACUUGUGGUGGUGCAGAUAUUUGGGUCACAAAAGUAGUCUUUGGCGAGUAGCCACCCAGUGGCUGAUGCAGAUAGUGUAUUAAAGUGGAGUUUAUAAAGGAUAGUGUAGUGGUGCUAAUGAAGUAGAACCCACAAAUCAAAGAGUUUCUUUAUGAUUUCUUGUUUCUUUUAUACCAUUUUCACCAUGUAUUUGGUAUUUUGGUUAUUGCUAGCUUUCUAAUUGUGUAUUUUAAUAGUGUUUGUUUGCUUGCUAUUUGUUUUGAAGUUGGGGGUCUAUGUAGAAGCAACCUGAGGAAUAGAUGUAUGGUUCGUCUACAUCCCACCUCCAUAGGUGGUAGAUAUAGUUCACAUUGCACAUCCUACUAAGAUUGACAGGUGUACUCUUCACUAUACGCACACUAGAAUUUUAGUCAUCAUAUAAAGUUAAUGGCCGCAAGGGGCGUACAGAUGAGGUUAAACCAUACACCAAAGCAUCAGGUGCCAUGAUAUUACUGAAACUAAUAAAGGUGUGGUCUAUUUAAUCUUUUGAUGGAUGAACAUGAGGUUCUUAUCGGUUAUCACAUUCUGUUGAACCUUAAAGCAUGAAAGGAUACUUACUAGACUUGGCCAUAUGGGCGGGCUAACAGGAUGAGGGUCAGAAUGACAAACUUUUUGGAUCUCUAGUAAAGGGCUGAAGAUGUACUCACGCACAAACGGUUACUGCAUCUAGCUCAUGAUCCUGCUAAUAGGCCUGCAUUUGAGGUCCGGCUAGUACAGGUUUCUGCAACAACUGAUGGCAGCUCUGAUGAUGUAGUUUAUUCAAGCUCUCCUACACAGCAACCAGUCAAUAGCAUUCAUCAUCCACCACCUGCGUUUGGGUCAUCUCCUAAUCUUGAAGCCCUUGCACUUGAAACAAAUGAGUCUCAAGUUCAGAAUGGGGAUAGUGCUGUAAAUAGCUAUUCAACACUGCCCAGGUGCUUCUUCAGGAAUCACUAUAGUUUCUUGUAUUUCUAGCUAUAAUUUAAGAAGACCACCAAAGAAAAAAAAACGGAGCUACAAGCUAUACAGAAAGAUUUUUAGAGCCAAUGAGCAAACUUUGAAGAUACGAUGCUAAGUGUAAUUGAAAAGCUACCUAUUGGAGUACUUCAAGAUUUUAGAGAUGAGUAGGAGGUUUUUGUUAGUUUUUAUUUCUGGUUAUUGACAACUUUAUUUUGAUUAUAUUGUUAUUUUGAGUUUGUACAUAUGUUAAAUUAUAAUAUAAGAUAUUUGU